GCCUGGCUGGCUCAGUCAGUAGAGCAUGCAACUCUUGAUUUCAGGGUCGUUAGUUCAAGCCCCACGUUGGGCA
rnacentral:tRNA from 1 species